rnacentral:misc_RNA from 1 species
CCGCUUAUUGAUAUGCUUAAGUUCAGCGGGUAUCCCUACCUGAUCCGAGGUCAACCUUGUAAAAAAGAAAGUGUCCCUGUGAGGGGACGGUGACCGGGUCUGGACUUCUAGCCUGGUACGUGCCCGAAAGCUCAGUGUACAGGAGUCCUCACAGACGCCGUCAUUAUCUUUGGGAAGAGCGGGAGGGCGAGCCUCCCCGCUACGACCAACAACAAGCCGGGCUUGAGGGGUGAUAAUGACGCUCGAACAGGCAUGCCCUCCGGAAUACCAGAGGGCGCAAUGUGCGUUCAAAGAUUCGAUGACUCACGGAUUCUGCAAUUCGCAUUACUUAUCGCAUUUCGCUGCGUUCUUCAUCGAUGCAGCUGUACCUAGA